rnacentral:rRNA from 1 species
UACGGGGGGGGCAAGCGUUGUUCGGAAUUACUGGGCGUAAAGGGUCCAUAGGUGGCCAACUAAGUCAGACGUGAAAUCCCUCAGCUUAACUGGGGAACUGCGUCUGAGACUGGAUGGCUCGAGUGCAGGAGAGGAAUGCGGAAUUCCAGGUGUAGCGGUGAAAUGCGUAGAUAUCUGGAGGAACACCGGUGGCGAAGGCGGCAUUCUGGACUGCAACUGACACUGAACGACGAAAGCCAGGGGAGCAAACGGG